UUUUAAGGUUCAAAGUGAUCACUCAUCCUGAAAAUUACACUCUAAAAAAGUGCUUGUAGUUGAGUUUGGGAAAUGCAGAUCUCCAAAAAAUGUGGAGCAACUUAGAUGAGCAAUGAAAGGAUCAGAGGUUUAACCACGACUCCAUUUUCUUCAAGCCCCCUGAAGAUCCUGACGAUCUGGGAUGUGCUGGCUACACCUUGCUCCCCGUCAACCAGGAGCGUUACUGAAGUUACAGUAAAACAAUGUCAGGAGACUGACACAAAAGCAAAUCCUUUCAAAGACUGAUUUUGAAUCUUGAUUGAAGAGAUCAAAAGAGAAUAUAAGAAGUUAGAACUCAUUUCUGGGGCACCACCUCGAUGAAACAGCUGAGAAGUUCCUACUACCCAGAGCCCUGCAGUUGCCACAGCUCAAUCUCUUCUCAACCUGGUGCCCAGCUUUUCCUGUUGAUUCUGCAACUAGGCCAGUAUCUUUUCAAAAAUUCCUUUUCUGCUUGUUGACUAUCUCUGCUAUUUGCAACCAGAAGUAUUUAGAUAAAAUAUUUUUAAAAUGUAUAUGUCACCUUUUUCCUAAUUAUGAUGCAAAAUUACUGCAGAAAACUCAUAAUUCUAUACAUUAGAUACAACUAAUGUUAACAUCUUAGUGUUUCCUUCUACUCUUCUAUUCUAAAUAUGUAUACAUAUAUACUUCUUUAAAAAUAGUUGAGUAAUUAGAAGUAGAGUGACUAUAUUUAUAUCAGACAAAAGAAGCCUUAAGAUAAAAAAAAUUACUAGAGACAAAGAGGGACAUUUCAUAAUGAUAAAAGGUUCACAAUUCAAACAUGUAAUUUAAAAAUUCCAUUUGUAAUACCAUCAAAAGGGAUACAAUACUGAAGAAUAAAUUUAGUGCCAGGCGCAGUGGCUCACAGCUAUAAUCCCAGCACUCUGGGAGGCCUAGGCAGGUGGAUCACCUGAGACCAGCCCGGCCAACAUGGCAAAACCCCAUCUCUACUAAAAACAUAAAAAUUAGCCUCAUGUGAUGGCACACGCCUGUAAUCCUAGCUACUCCGGAGGCUAAGGCAUGAGAAUCACUUGAACCCAGGAGGCGGAGGUUGCAGUGAGCUGAGAUGAGAUCGUGAUGCUGCACUCCAGCUUGGGCAACUGAGCAAGACUCAGUCUCAAAAAAAAAAAAAAAAAAAAAAAAAAAAAAGAUGAACCAGUUUUGAAGUAACUGAAGAAUUUAAGUAUAUUUGGCCCUAUCCCUUCCUUGAAGAAACCAUUUUUUUAAUUGUUUUUAAUUAUUUGCAUAGCUUUAAAUAAUAUACUCAUGCUGAUAUUUGAGCUAUAACUUUAGAUUUUAUCUUUCGACUUCCUGCUACAUACAUAGGCCUUUAGCUCACCACUACCACCCUUCCCCAGACCUUCUCAAUUUCUUAUACUUAAAAUAUUUUGUUCUUUAUAAAUGUAAACGAUAUUUAUUUAAACCUGUAUUUCUUGUUCCAUCAAUUCUCAUGAAGUAAUUUUAUAAGAUACUUUCUCAACCUUCCCAUCACUCCCUCCACCUCCUAAUUUGCCAGCUUUUCUAUUUUGUCAAGAUUAACUUUUAUAUCCUGGUCUGUAAAAACUGUGUUUUUAUCAAUUCUUAUAGUUAAGUAAGUGAUGUUCAAAUUAUUUCUAGGUAAAUACUGCUCUUGGUGGCACCUAGCAGACUAAUAUGACUAGUCAUUUUCUCUCUGUUGUUCCAAUAUUGCAACCCUAUGCAAUCCUCACAAAUGACUGAAUCAGAAGGUAACACUUACAGUAACAGCCUGAGUUUUCCCCAGUCCCACAAACUAAUGAAUUAAAAUGGUUUGGCUCUGUGUCCCCACCCAAAUCUCAAGUCAAACUAUAAUUCCCAAUGUUGGAGGUGGGGCCUGGUGGGAGGUGACUGGAUCACGGGUGCUAAUGGUUUGGCACCACCCCUCACCCCCUUGUGCUGUCUUGUGAUAGAGUAGAGUUCUCAUGAGACCUGGUUGCUUAAAAGUGUGUAGCACCUCCCCCUUCACACUCUCUCCUGCCACCAUGAGAAGAUAUGACUGCUUCCCCUUUGCCUCCUGCCAGGAUUUUAAGUUUCCUGAGGCCUCCCCAGCCAUGCCUCUUGUACAGCCUGAGGAACUGUGAGUGAAUUAAACCUCUUCUCUUCAUAAAUUACUCAGUCUCAGGUAGUUCUCUAUAGCAGUGUGAGAACAGACUAAUUCAUGAACCAAUCUGUUACUCUUAAGGUAAAUUGCUCUGUUACUCUUAAGGUAAAUUGCUACCACAGAGAGAAACUAAAACACAAUGAAUUGAACUAAGUUAAUUUAUUUCUUGCUUAUAAAACAGUCUUAGUGCCAAGCACACAGAGGUUGGCAGGGUGGCUCUGUCCUUUAAGGUCAUCUAAGGACCUAAGUUCCUUCCAUUCUGUUGAUCUCCCAUGGGUACACUCCUCACCCAUAUGUCUGGAGCUGGCUCAUCCUACAGCUGCUUCUAGCCUUCUAGAUAAGGAGAAAAGUCCACAGCAAGUGGCUUCAUAUUUUGUAAUGAUUUGGAAGUGACACACAUCAUUUGUGCAUAUCCCAGUAGCCUAAAAGUUAGACACACAGCCAUAAUUACUGCAAGGAAAGCUGAGACACAAGGAUUACCUAGGCUGCCAUGUGGACAACUACAACCUAGGGUUUUCUUUCUAAAGCACAAGGAAAAGUCAGACAUGACAGACAAUUUGCAACCUGACCUAUACUGUUCUGAAAACACUUUGAAAUAAGUCACUAACGUCCUCUAAAUGCCAAGUCUAGUCAACAUAUAUAGUAUCUGAACAGUGACAUUCCUAACUCAUUAUGGUCCUAACUCUCAAGACAGUAUUAUCUCCACAUUCUCCUGUCUAGCCUGCCUCUCCCUCCCACACCAACUCCUUCUACUCUCCCCUGCCUUCCUUUACUUUCUCUGGCUGUCCUUUAUACAGGAUUCAGGUCUUUAACACUCUUUAUAACUUGCUCAACGUGCUCUUCCUAAUCAUCUCAUCCAUGUCCAACCUUUAUUGUCCUCAUUCUGAGGACUGGCUUUCAGACUUACCUACUUUAAGUUCCAUAAAUACCUUGAAUU